UUGCUUGCUUCAGCAGCACAUAUACUAAAACUGGAUGAUACAGAGAAGAUUAGCAUGGCUCCUGUGCAAGGAUGGCAUGCAACUUUGUGAAGCGCUCCAUAUUUUU
rnacentral:snRNA from 1 species